UUUGACAUUAGUUUACAUAAAGAAUUCGGACUUGAUUGCAACCGAGUCGAACCAGUUGUUGUUGCUUUCAGGCUUUUGGAGGAUUUUGGAUAGUUAAUAGAUUUCGGUCUUCGUGGCGGAGGAGGAGGAGGACGGGAAAUAUGGUUUACUCGGCGGGCCAUUCCGGAAGACGGGACGGGAAGGAACCAGUUUGCGAUCGUGGAAGCGGUUGGUGUUUGGUGUUUUACCGUCCGCGGGAUGUUGCGACGCAUACCUAAUGGAACUGACAACAAACAUUUUCCAAUCUGAUUCUGCCGGAAACCGGAAUGCGUUCCCGUGUGGUCACUCGUGGCUUCCGUAGAAUCCACGGAAGCAGCCCCGUUUUUUUCGUACUCGUACUCCACAAAACCCACGUUUCCUCGUGCUCCGGUAAACAUCAAUCCGUCGGAGAUCCAAGAUCGUCGCCAAAGCGUCGCAUCCGGGUUUUGAUCAGCUCGUCGAGGAACAAAAGUCCAACACGACCAAGAUGCUGCCACGGCCGCCUCAGAAGAACACCAACACCCAAGCCGGAAGCUGCGGUCAAGGCAAAUCCAGAAGGAAGCCAAGUUGGGGAAGAAUCGGCGAUACGCAAGUGAAAUUAAGUGUACAAUAAAUAUUUUUGUGAAAUUUUGACAGCUGGAAUAAAAAAAAAAUCAAU
rnacentral:lncRNA from 1 species